UCGGGGCCGGGGCCACCGCGGCGCUUCUCCGAGGCCGGCCCGGAGCAGAGCGGAGCCGCCGGGCGCUGCCGUCACGGGGCCCCACGCUCCGCUUGUAUAUUCGUGUCGAUGUUCCACUAGGAAGGGAAAUAUGUCACUUUUUGUAAGAAGUGUUAAUAAUUUAAUUUAUUUAUGCAUCGAGAUUUUGGGCACUAUUAAUAUGGAAUUAUAUAAAACCUCGAUUAUUUAUAUCGAAAUCUGAACAUAGGUAUUUUGUGUUGGCUUUGGAACAAAAGGCUAUUUUUUUUUUCCCCUGUUCUGAGGAUAGUCUAAAGAAACAAAAAUACCUACCUAUCACUUAGCGGAGGGGACCGAGUGGAGCCAGUGAUGACUCGUUAGCUUAGGAAACCCUAUUAAGCUGAAAAGCGGUAGCUUCCAUCUGUCCCAGGUGAAGUUAAUGUCAGCUGUAAUUUAUUCACCGUAGUAAUAAGGGCUCCUUUCAGGCAGCACACACUCGGGUUUUGUCCUCACCUUUUCAGCCGAUGAGCUUUAGCGUACCGAAAGAGCACCUGCACCCUCUCCUUUCGCCGCCGACUCUAGAGAAAGCGCCUUAUGUUUCAUAAUAAAGAAGAUUUGGGGUUGACACAGACCAUGUAUAAUACUUUGUACUUGCCAAGAUGUGUAAAUAAACGUUUUCUUUAAAAACGCCUCUCCACUCCCUGCUGCCGCCGCGCCGGGAAAGCCGGGACCGCUCCGCGGAGGUGCAGGUACAGGAGGAAGAAAAGUGGCAAGCUGCGUGCCUGCUGAAGCUGUGUGCUGGUUGGGAAGCUGUGUUUUAAUGAGGAAUGCCUCAGCUUGAACACUAUGAACUCAAGAUGCUAAACUCCCAGGCACUUUCAGGGGCCAGAGAUGCCAAAACGUCUGUGGAAAGCCCC